rnacentral:rRNA from 1 species
UACGUAGGGUGCGAGCGUUAAUCGGAAUUACUGGGCGUAAAGCGUGCGCAGGCGGUUCGUUGUGUCUGAUGUGAAAGCCCCGGGCUUAACCUGGGAAUGGCAUUGGAAACUGGCGAGCUGGAGUGUGGCAGAGGGGGGUGGAAUUCCGCGUGUAGCAGUGAAAUGCGUAGAGAUGCGGAGGAACACCGAUGGCGAAGGCAGCCCCCUGGGCCAACACUGACACUGAGGAGCGAAAGCCAGGGGAGCAAACGGG